rnacentral:rRNA from 1 species
UAAGGAAUAUUGCUCAAUGGGAGAAAUCCUGAAGCAGCAACGCCGCGUGGAGGAUGAAGGGCUUUCAGCUUGUAAACUCCUGUAAAGAAGGAAACAAUUCCCAUUAGAUGGGAAAUGAUGGUACUUCUAAAGUAAGCCCCGGCUAACUACGUGCCAGCAGCCGCGGUAAUACGUAGGGGGCAAGCGUGGUCCGGAUUGACUGGGUGUAAAGGGUGCGCAGGCGGAUUUGUAAGUCAGAGGUGAAAUCUCACAGCUUAACUGGGAAACUGCCUUUGAUACUGCAAGUCUAGAGUAUGGAAGAGAGUGAUGGAAUGUCUGGUGUAGCAGUGAAAUGCGUAGAUAUCAGAUAGAACACCAAUGGCGAAGGCAGUCACUUGGUCCAUUACUGACGCUAAAGCACGAAAGCGUGGGUAGCAAACA